AGGACGAACGCUGGCGGCGUGCCUAACACAUGCAAGUCGAGCGAGGAGAUUCCUCGGGAUGAUCCUAGCGGCGGACGGGUGAGUAACACGUGGGCAACCUGCCUCAUAGAGAGGAAUAGCCUUCCGAAAGGGAGAUUAAUACCUCAUAACAUUGCAGUUUCGCAUGGAACAGCAAUUAAAGGAGUAAUCCGCUAUGAGAUGGGCCCGCGGCGCAUUAGCUAGUUGGUGAGGUAACGGCUCACCAAGGCGACGAUGCGUAGCCGACCUGAGAGGGUGAUCGGCCACAUUGGGACUGAGACACGGCCCAGACUCCUACGGGAGGCAGCAGUGGGGAAUAUUGCACAAUGGGGGAAACCCUGAUGCAGCCAACGCCGCGUGAGUGAUGACGGCCUUCGGGUUGUAAAGCUCUGUCUUCAGGGACGAUAAUGACGGUACCUGAGGAGGAAGCCACGGCUAACUACGUGCCAGCAGCAGC
rnacentral:rRNA from 1 species